AGGUGGUAUUCAAUACCCAAAUAUCAGAGUCUGAAUCACUCAAUAAAAAAUAGGUCUGUAUCAUAUACACAUCUUUUGAUGUUACACUUGCACCCUACUUCAAUCUUACAAGAUUAUUCUUACAAUUAUACUCUCAAUUUUCAAAUUUAUCAUAAAUAAUAUCCAUACGGACAUCAUUACCUUCUCAUUAUUACUGAUCAAACUAGGGUCAGAAAUAUCCAGAAUAUCGAAGUUCUUUUCUGAUAUAAACCUAAUUUGUAAGUUCCUCAACCAAUCCACAUAGUUGUAUCGGUCAACAUAGUUUUAUUUAUUGUA
rnacentral:lncRNA from 1 species